UUCUUAUCAAGAGAAGUGGAGGGAAUGGCCCAAUGAAGCUUCAGCAACCAGCCAACCAUGGUCAGGUGCUAAAUCCAGCAGUUUAUCUGCAAGAUAAGAG
rnacentral:ncRNA from 2 species